rnacentral:lncRNA from 1 species
CUCUCUUUUUCUCUCUCUCUCCCUCCUCCCCUCUCUCCUUGUCCUCUCUCUGUCCGCUCACAGCCCAUACACCCCCGAGCGCAGCUAAUUAAAUCCUUAUAAGUGAGUCGCCUCGCCUCGCCUGCCAUCCCAAACUCUCAGAAAGGUCAGUCCACUCACAGGCAUGAGAGACAGGAGAGACGUCAUUCCACUUUCUGGCGCCUUCUGAGAGCCAAUGGAAGCCUUAGAAAAUGUCACGGAAUUGUUUAUUUGGCCCUCAGUAAUCCCUGUUGCUGUGAUCUGAUUGGCUGCAGCCUGCGGAGGGUUGCCAAUUAGUGCCAUCGCAUCACUUUGUGCAGAGGCUGCUGCCUUGGAGAGAGGGAGAGGUGGACGGAGAGGGUAGGGGAGCAAGAGAAUAUAAGUAAGGGAGAGAGAGAGAGAGAGAGAGGGACUGAGGGUCCGUGAGAAAAAGACCAUAGCUGUGUUUGAAUACUCAUACAUACUAACCACACUAACCGUAAUAUUUGUAAUGUAAAUGGAGUAUGUAGUAUGCUUAUUGGUCAUAGUAUGGAUAUAGUUAGUAUGCCAAAAGUUCCCGGAUGUAUGCAAGCAGUGGCCCAUAAUGCAAUUCUUCAGAAAAUGGGCUUGGCUUCACAACGUUCUCAGAUUUGAAGUAAAUGGCGGGAAAUAUGCAGCUGAAGUCUGACGAGAGAG